CCCGGCUAUUCUUUAUUUAUUUUGGUACUGGGGAUUGAACUUAGGACCUUGCACUUGCAAGGCAGGAGCAGUGCCACAGAGCUAAAUCCCUGGCCCUCUUCUUUUUCUUUUUGAGACACGGUCUUGUCCACACUGGGCUUGAGCUUGCAGUCCUCCUGCUUCAGCCUCCCAGAGUGGUAGGGUUAUAGGUCAGGCCACCAUGCAGUCCUACACUUUUUCCUUGUGGUGGUGGGGAUUGAACCAGGACCCCACAUAUUCUAGGCAAGUGCUCCCCACCUAGCUACACCCCAGCCCUUUUCAUUUUUUAUUUUGAAACAGUGUCUCACUAAGUUGCCCAAGCUGAUCUUGAGGGCUGGGGAUUUAGCUCAGUGGCACCACACCUGCCUCACAAGCGCAAGGUACUAAGUUCGAUCCCCAGUACCGGGAAAAAAAAAAAAUCCAAGCUGGUCUUGAACUAGCAAUCCUCUUGCCUCAGACUCCUGAGUAGCUGGUAUGACAGGUGUGAGUGAGCCUGCUUGGCUUGAUUUCAUAAAUAAAAUUAAGGUUUUUUUGUGGGGGGGGGUCAUACUGGAGAUUGAACCCAGGACCUUCCCACUGAGCUACAUCCCGAGCCCUUUUUAAAUUUUUAUUUUGAAACAGGAUCUUGUUAAAUCACUAAGUUGCCAAGACAGGGCUAAAAAAGUUGCAAUCCUCUUGCCUCAGCCUCCUACAGUGCAGGGAUUACAGGUGUGUGCCACUGUGCCCAGCUUAAAAUAAAGUUUUACUGGUACUCCUCCGUUUGUACUCAUUGUCAACACCAGUCAUGAGGUAAUGUCAGAGACCGUCUGGCCCAGCAAAACUGAAGAAACCUUAUCAGAAAGGGUUUACAGACCUUGGUGUAAGGAUUUCACCAAGGCCGGGGUGUGUGCUUGGGUCACUGGUUUGCUUGGGAUAAAGCUCCAUCCCAGCCCGCCCAAAUAUCCCUGUGGCUCACCCAGGAUGCCCAUGUCAUAUCUGCCCUCCUUCUUAUCCAUCUCGAUAAGGUGGUCGAAGGUGUCUGAGAAGUACUGGAACAGUGCAUUCUGCUUGUGGACCUCCAGCCCCAGGAUGCGGUUCAGGAACUUGGUGAUAGAGCAGUCUGGGGGGCCAGGAACCAUGUCUCAGGCCGUGGCAGGUGGCCCGCUGUCCCCCGCCAGUGCCUGGAUCUGAGGGACUCACCCUUCUCCACAUCCAGCCCGCCGGACCGAGACUCACGCCCGCCGAUGCCAACCGACAGCAGGCCCUGCUUCAUGUCUGUGGGGAGGGCGCCGCUCCUGAGCCCCAGAACCCCCAGGACGGCCCAGGCCUGCCAGAGGCCCCUCCCUUCUUCCCCAUCUGCCCUCGCUCUACCUGGCACCAGGGACAUCCUUGGGAGUGGGGGCUGAUGCUGCGCCCUGGGGCCAAGGCUUCUGGUGACAUGGAGGAGGCCCCUUUAUUCUGACUCCCAGGAGUGGGACUAGAGUCCUUGGAAAUAGGUCCAGACCCCACACACCUCAGCCAGGAACCCUCCUCGGAGACCACCGGAGGCCACCAUGCUCGGCUCCCUUCGCCAUCCAUAUCCCCGUGGUGGGGGUGGGGGUGUGUGUGUGUGUCGGAGUUGUCUUUUUUUUUCAGUACUGGGUAUUGAAUUCAGGGCCUUCACAUGGAGUCACACCCAAGCCCGGCCUUUUUUCCUCAUUUUUGGUACUGGGGAUCUAACUCAGGAGCUUGCCUUGCAAGGCCCCGGCCUUUGUUUGUUUUUCACUAUGAGACUGGGUCUCCCUAAAGUCACUCACUUGCCCAGACUAAGCUUGAACUUGGUGAUCCUCCUGCCUCAGCCUCCUAGAAUGCUGGGAUUAGAUACAUACCACCAUACCCAGCUAUGGAGCUGUUUUUCAACAGGACCCCCGCCUACAAACUCAGGUGCCCCAAACUCUCCAAUCUGCUGCUCUGCUGCGCUGACCCCCCAGACAUAUCCCCAUAUGCCCCCCAGCUCACCCCGGAAGAAGGCGGCAUCCCCUCCGGGGUAGCCCUGGGGCAGCGGCACUUUGUUUUCUGUCUGGCUCAGGAUGGUGCUGAGGACGCAGCUGAGGGCCCGAGUGCCGUACUGGGGGGUAGGGAGAGUGAGCACCUUGUUCUCGAAGUUGUAUUUGCUGAGGUCCCGGGACUCAGUGGCACGGCGGUCCCCAUGCGUCAGG
rnacentral:lncRNA from 1 species